GAUGAACGCUAGCGACAGGCCUAACACAUGCAAGUCGAGGGGCAGCACAAUGGUAGCAAUACUAUGGUGGCGACCGGCGCACGGGUGAGUAACACGUAUGCAACCUACCUGUAAGCGGGGAAUAACCCGGAGAAAUUCGGACUAACACCGCAUAACACUCUGAAUCUGCAUGGAUUCAGAGUUAAAUAUUUAUAGCUUACAGAUGGGCAUGCGUAUGAUUAGAUAGUUGGUAGGGUAACGGCCUACCAAGUCAACGAUCAUUAGGGGUUCUGAGAGGAAGGUCCCCCACACUGGUACUGAGACACGGACCAGACUCCUACGGGAGGCAGCAGUGAGGAAUAUUGGUCAAUGGGCGAGAGCCUGAACCAGCCAAGUCGCGUGAAGGAAGAAGGUUCUAUGGAUUGUAAACUUCUUUUGUAAGGGAAUAAAAAGUGGUACGUGUACCAUAUUGUAUGUACUUUACGAAUAAGGAUCGGCUAACUCCGUG
rnacentral:rRNA from 1 species